rnacentral:rRNA from 1 species
AGAACCUGAAACCGUGUACGUACAAGCAGUGGGAGCACCUUCGUGGUGUGACUGCGUACCUUUUGUAUAAUGGGUCAGCGACUUAUAUUCUGUAGCAAGGUUAACCGUAUAGGGGAGCCGCAGGGAAACCGAGUCUUAACUGGGCGUUAAGUUGCAGGGUAUAGACCCGAAACCCGGUGAUCUAGCCAUGGGCAGGUUGAAGGUUGGGUAACACUAACUGGAGGACCGAACCGACUAAUGUUGAAAAAUUAGCGGAUGACUUGUGGCUGGGGGUGAAAGGCCAAUCAAACCGGGAGAUAGCUGGUUCUCCCCGAAAGCUAUUUAGGUAGCGCCUCGUGAACUCAUCUUCGGGGGUAGAGCACUGUUUCGGCUAGGGGGUCAUCCCGACUUACCAACCCGAUGCAAACUACGAAUACCGAAGAAUGUUAUCACGGGAGACACACGGCGGGUGCUAACGUCCGUCGUGAAGAGGGAAACAACCCAGACCGCCAGCUAAGGUCCCAAAGUCAUGGUUAAGUGGGAAACGAUGUGGGAAGGCACAGACAGCCAGGAUGUUGGCUUAGAAGCAGCCAUCAUUUAAAGAAAGCGUAAUAGCUCACUGGUCGAGUCGGCCUGCGCGGAAGAUGUAACGGGGCUAAACCAUGCACCGAAGCUGCGGCAGCGACACUAUGUGUUGUUGGGUAGGGGAGCGUUCUGUAAGCCUGCGAAGGUGGCCUGUGAGGGUUGCUGGAGGUAUCAGAAGUGCGAAUGCUGACAUAAGUAACGAUAAAGCGGGUGAAAAGCCCGCUCGCCGGAAGACCAAGGGUUCCUGUCCAACGUUAAUCGGGGCAGGGUGAGUCGACCCCUAAGGCGAGGCCGAAAGGCGUAGUCGAUGGGAAACAGGUUAAUAUUCCUGUACUUGGUGUUACUGCGAAGGGGGGACGGAGAAGGCUAUGUUAGCCGGGCGACGGUUGUCCCGGUUUAAGCAUGUAGGCUGGUUAUCCAGGCAAAUCCGGAUAAUCAAGGCUGAGGUGUGAUGACGAGGCACUACGGUGCUGAAGUAACAAAUGCCCUGCUUCCAGGAAAAGCCUCUAAGCAUCAGGUAACAUCAAAUCGUACCCCAAACCGACACAGGUGGUCAGGUAGAGAAUACCAAGGCGCUUGAGAGAACUCGGGUGAAGGAACUAGGCAAAAUGGUGCCGUAACUUCGGGAGAAGGCACGCUGGUGUGUAGGUGAAGUCCCUGCGGAUGGAGCUGAGACCAGUCGAAGAUACCAGCUGGCUGCAACUGUUUAUUAAAAACACAGCACUGUGCAAACACGAAAGUGGACGUAUACGGUGUGACGCCUGCCCGGUGCCGGAAGGUUAAUUGAUGGGGUUAUCCGUAAGGAGAAGCUCUUGAUCGAAGCCCCGGUAAACGGCGGCCGUAACUAUAACGGUCCUAAGGUAGCGAAAUUCCUUGUCGGGUAAGUUCCGACCUGCACGAAUGGCGUAAUGAUGGCCAGGCUGUCUCCACCCGAGACUCAGUGAAAUUGAACUCGCUGUGAAGAUGCAGUGUACCCGCGGCAAGACGGAAAGACCCCGUGAACCUUUACUAUAGCUUGACACUGAACAUUGAGCCUUGAUGUGUAGGAUAGGUGGGAGGCUUUGAAGCGUGGACGCCAGUCUGCGUGGAGCCAACCUUGAAAUACCACCCUUUAAUGUUUGAUGUUCUAACGUUGGCCCCUUAUCGGGGUUGCGGACAGUGUCUGGUGGGUAGUUUGACUGGGGCGGUCUCCUCCCAAAGCGUAACGGAGGAGCACGAAGGUUAGCUAAUCCUGGUCGGACAUCAGGAGGUUAGUGCAAUGGCAUAAGCUAGCUUGACUGCGAGCGUGACGGCGCGAGCAGGUGCGAAAGCAGGUCAUAGUGAUCCGGUGGUUCUGAAUGGAAGGGCCAUCGCUCAACGGAUAAAAGGUACUCCGGGGAUAACAGGCUGAUACCGCCCAAGAGUUCAUAUCGACGGCGGUGUUUGGCACCUCGAUGUCGGCUCAUCACAUCCUGGGGCUGAAGUAGGUCCCAAGGGUAUGGCUGUUCGCCAUUUAAAGUGGUACGCGAGCUGGGUUUAGAACGUCGUGAGACAGUUCGGUCCCUAUCUGCCGUGGGCGCUGGAGAAUUGAGGGGGGCUGCUCCUAGUACGAGAGGACCGGAGUGGACGCAUCACUGGUGUUCGGGUUGUCAUGCCAAUGGCACUGCCCGGUAGCUAAAUGCGGAAGAGAUAAGUGCUGAAAGCAUCUAAGCACGAAACUUGCCCCGAGAUGAGUUCUCCCUGAGACUUUAAGUCUCCUGAAGGAACGUUGAAGACGACGACGUUGAUAGGCCGGGUGUGUAAGCGCAGCGAUGCGUUGAGCUAACCGGUACUAAUGAACCGUGAGGCUUAACCUU